AAGGAGAAGAGGAUGUCGGAGAAGAUGAUCGGAGGCAGUCCCGUUGAGCACUCCUUUAAGAACAAGGGUACUGCGAAGACACAAGCCGGCCCUUCCUCUAGUGCCAAUUCUGUUGGUGCAGAAUUUCGUCGAAGUCAGAGUUGCUGGAGUCGAGAUGACCGUGGCCGUCAUCAGGACCUACAAGAAAAGUCUAAACCGGAGUUGGGGG
rnacentral:lncRNA from 1 species